rnacentral:rRNA from 1 species
AACAAACGCUGGCGGCGUGCUUAACACAUGCAAGUCGAACGCGAAAGGUUCCUUCGGGAACCGAGUAGAGUGGCGCACGGGUGAGUAACGCGUAAGUUAUCUACCUCGGCAUCUGGAAUAACUCACCGAAAGGUGUGCUAAUACCUGACACGUUGAGUAAUCAAGAAAGGUGGCCUCUGAAUAUGCUACCGUGCUGAGAUGAGCUUGCGUACCAUUAGCUAGUUGGUAGGGUAAUGGCCUACCAAGGCGACGAUGGUUAGCGGGUCCGAGAGGAUGAUCCGGCACACUGGAACUGGAACACGGACCAGACUCCUAAGGGAGGCAGCAGUGAGGAAUAUUGCGCAAUGGGGGCAACCCUGACGCAGCGACGCCGCGUGGAUGAUGAAGGCCUUCGGGUCGUAAAAUCCUGUCAGGUGGAAAGAAAUGUCUAUGUGCUAAUAUCAUGUAGGAUUGACGGUACCACCGAAGGAAGCACCGGCUAACUCCGUGCCAGCCGCCGCCGUAAGAC